UCUGUCAAUGAUGAUCUAUCUGAAAUGCUCGAGUUGAAAGACCAUGAGAAAACUCACAUGCACUACCAUCUGAGACGGG
ensembl:snoRNA SNORD33 Small nucleolar RNA Z195/SNORD33/SNORD32 family